AAUGAAUCAGUCCUUCCAAAGGUUUGAUUUCCUUUAGGAUUUGACUGAUUUGAUCUCCUUGCAGUUCAAGGGACUCUCAAGAAACUUUUCCAGCACCACAGUUUGAAAGCAUCCAUUCUUCGGUCCUCAGCCUUGUAUGGCCCAGCUCUUAUAUCUGUACAUAUGAUGUGGAAAACUAUAGCUUUGACUGUAUGGACCUUUGACUCAGUGGUAGAGUUGUUUUUCUGCCAGUGCAGGAGAUGCAGGAGACUUGGGUUCUAUCCCUGGGUCAGAAAGAUCCCCUGGAGGAGGAAACCCAAUCCAGUAUUCUUGUCUGGAGAAUCCCAUGGACAGAGAAGCCUGGUGGGCUAAAGUCCAUGGGGUCACAAAGAGUCAGAUGUAACUGAGCAUGCACGCAUUAAGAGCAGAGAGUAACAGGAAGGAAAAUUCACCGAGUUCACAGCUCCAUUCUUGCAGUCUAUGUCCAUCUUCAGGUUCACGUGUGUGUUCUCUGUUGAAGGAGAUUUGAACGUGGAGUUCCUAAAACAAACAAGAGAACUCGUGGGAUUUGGCAGCAUGACCUUGUCUGGCUGGCUGGGCUUUGGGAACAAGAGCUCUUCAUUCCUGGCAGGUCUUGGGGAAGAAUGAAACCACAUCACAUGACUCUGAAGUUCCUUCCAACACUCCGACAGGAGGAAUGGAUUGAGCAAGAGUAAUUUUUGUAGACUCAGGAGAUUGAACCUUCUUUUUUAGACGAGGAAGUGGGACAUUCCAGACUGUGAGACAAGAGACCAGGGAGACGAAAGCUAAUAAAACCCUGAAGGAGGAAAUGAAAUUCUCUCUGGGUUGGUAGAGGUGACUGCUUUCCCCCACGUCUUCCUGUGUCUGUAAACUGCCUUAGUCUUUCACAUGUUUAUUUUCUAUUUUAUCUGCAUUUUUAUAGCCACUUCAAUGACCGUUUUGUGCCAAGGCAGUAAAAUAAAGAAUGUUUUUGAUAUGGUGCUCCUUACUUUGUAGAGGGACAAAGUUAAACUUUCUUCAUGAUUAUCAGUCAGUCCGUGUCCAGAUUUACAUUCAGCUGAUAUUUUUCAAGCACUGGCCCAGGUAAUUUCAACAUGUAUUAUCUCAUCUCAUCCUCAGAGCAACCUGGGUUGAGAGAUUUGGUAUCGAGGCUCAGAGAGGUGAAGGGACAUUGCAAGGCAGACAGGGGUUUGCAUGUAGACCCCUCUCUGUGAGUCUAGAAUCCCCUCCACAGCUGCCUCUCAUGUUCAUCACGUUGUGUUACUUUUGUGAGUUCUUGAACUCUGCGGCAACUCAGGAAUGGCAUGAAAUACUGUUCCUUGAAAGCAUUGUUGUAUGGCAACAUGGGCUAGACAUAUCUCAAGACUUAAGACUACAGCUGAUGGAUUUGAUUCUGAAUUAAAACAUCCAUCAGAAAAAGGAGUCUUUCUUUUUUGCAGAACACCCAAGAUGAAAAAAUGAAGCCAUCUGGCUUAACACAGUCAGUUUUGUCCUAGCUCCGUUUUGAAAUCAUACAUGUGUUCCAAUGGAAUUGAUACAGUAGGGAACUGCAUGAGCUUAAUGGGAAUUUCACAUUUCCUUACAUGCCAUUUUCUCCUCAUGAAACAUUUGGUGAAAGCAGAGCACUACACCCAACUGAGCUGAGCAGAGACAGAACACACCAGCUCUCACACCUCCUGCAUCUCCGAGCUGACCCACAUUAGGAGGUGCAUCCCCCCAACUUGGGCUGCAAUGCCCCUCGCCCCCCAGUUUGAGGUCUUCCUCUUCACAGUAACUCAUAAGCUGUAGUACCUGUCAGCCACCCCAAAGCACCCUUCAGGUCUUCCUUCAAGGGAAAGGAAAAUAUUGAUGGUUAUAUUUAUAUAUUUCUUAAUUGUUUCACUUAUAUAAAAUGUUAUCAUUUUUAUUAGGUUUCUUUUUUAUAAUGUGUGGCACUGAUGAAGUUUUUGAGUAUCGUGUCCUGAACCUCAUUUUUCCCCAUAAGACAUAUGCUUUUUUAUUGUGCAUUUUUGUAAAGAAGGAUAUUUUUAGGAUCACCUGUGUGGCAUUAUAGCCCUAAACCUUACAUCUAACUUCACCCUGUUGAAUACAGUAUUUGGGGAGUGAAAAUGCUCAAUAAUAGGAUGUACUAAAGUCCUGUUUAUGAUUUAUUCAGAAUCCAAACAAGGAAUAGAUUCAUUUGCCAAAAAACCCUCAAAAUUAAUGACAUUUUAAAAGUCCUUACAUAAAAUAAGCAAGGAUUUACUGUAUAGCAUGUGGAAUUAUAUUCAGUACCUUGUAAUAGCCUAUGAUGGAAAAUAAUAAUUUUAUAUAUAUAUAUAUAUGUAUAUAUAUGAUACUAGAUAAUAGAUUCUAGCCUAGGGUAUUAAAGAGUAGGGUUCCUAACCAAGUCACUUUGCUGUAUAUCUGCAACUUAACACAGCAUUGUAGAUCAGUUAUAUUUUUUUAAAAAGUUGCAAAAUCAUACGGCUAGAGAGGCUAUUUAAGAGGAAAAGAGAAAGUUAACCUUGCCCUUGAACUUACCUUAUGCCAGGUCAUGUUGAAUGCCUUCAGUAGUCCCUGCAUCUCAUCCUCCUGAAAAGGUACAUGGUGGUGAGGGUUUGAGGCUUGGAGGGGGAGGGGGACUCCUGUAGUGGGGAGGUGACCAGGUGGGACUCAGAGCUCCAGACGGUUCUCUCUCCCUGUCUGUGGGCUUUCCCAUUCUUGCUUGUGUGUUUCUGUCUGCUGACACAAACACAGGAUUCGUGAGCUUUACCCAAGGGUACAUCGGGGUCUUAGAAGACUUUAUCUUUCAAGAGACCAUUUUUUCAAAAAAUCAUUGUUUCUCAACGUCUUAUUUUAUUAUUGCUUUUUAGACAUUUUCCACCCAAAGAAGACAUUUUUCCCUCAAAAGAAGACAUUCCUUCCACCCCAAGAGGACAUUUUAGAUAUUUCAAAUACACCAUCUGUAUGUUUAUGGACUGGGUGUCUUUUUGUGCUUUUUAUGUAAGAAGAGUAAGGUUUCCUUUUGCCCCUCAAGAACCCGUUUUCAUCGUAUUGGGGGUAAUACUGCCCCUGUUGAAAAUGCAGAUCCUGGAUCCUCAAUUAUCUUAAACUCAUGUGCCUUUAAAAUUACUGUCAGACUACCUGAGAAUGGUAUCCUUGAAUUGGUGGGGGUUGACAACUUGUUGGGGCUGCGUUGAAUGAGCCUGGCAGGAAGUACACUGGGUUGACUAACAGAGCACGGUCCCAGCAAGAAAGUGGGGCGUAAGAGCAGGUGCCCAAUUCCCAGCACUCUGGGUGUCUCUGUAUAGAGAACAAUUUUUUUUUUUUAAUUUGCUUAAUUUUCUUUAUUUUUUUUCAUUUUUUAAAAAAUAUAAAUUUAUUUUAAUUGGAGGUUAAUUACUUUACAGUAUUGAAAAAGCAUGUAUGGGGCCAAAAACAAAAGGGAAGAAAUCAGCUGUUGAAUAAUAAAUGAUUCUGGCUCAUCAGCCUAUAUUUAGCACCUUUAGUUAACGAGUCAUCUUCUUUGAAGAUACUAAAUGAUAGAUUCCAACCUAAGAUAUUAAAGGGUAGGGCUUUCUCAGACUUUACUGUGCAUCGCAUCACCCGUGGGUCUUGUUAAAGUGCAGGUAGGGGGUGGGGCCUGAGUCUGCAUUGCCAACAGGUUUCCAGAUGCUGCUGGUCCAAGAGCGCCACUUUGAGCUGCAAAUUCCUAAGAGAACACAAAGGCAGUUAUAAGGGCAUCCUCAAAUAUCCUCAGAAUUUUAGAAAGUCUGAAGCAAUGCUUCUCUGGGGGGUGAUUUGCUCUCAAGGGGCCCAUUGUCAGUGUCUGCAGACAUUUUUUGUUGCCCAUCUGGAUGGCACUACUGGCAUCUAGUGGGUAGAGACCAGGGAUGCUGCUAAACAUCCUAUAGAGCACAGGACAGUGCCCACUGCAAAGAAUGAUCCAGCCCCACAUGUCCUUAGUGCUGAAAUUAGAAAUCCUUCCCUAGAGGAAAUCGCACACUUGCCCCCUGUAAGGCAGCAGAGACUAAGACAAGUAGCUCCUUCUCCUCCUGGACAGCAGUGAUUCUAACCCGCUGUGGUAGCACCAACUAGUUUGUAGUGGCCAUGCUCUGCAAUUGACAGUAAUACAUACUGCUAAUCAAUUUCAAUGGGAAAGUUAACUCAUGGUAACAUAAAGAAGAGCAGUUAAGUAGACUGCAAGGAAGACUUUCAUAAUCCUGAGAUCUGCGGCAGUUGUGCAUGUAUGUGUCGCAGGGGCCCCUGCUGGAGGAAGGAGGAGCAUGCCUGCCCCUUGUGGAGUGUGAACGUGGUGGGCUGAUCAGGCUGUGUACGCCUGGCUGUCGGGGUUUUUUGGCGUGGUAUGCGAGUGAGCCCAUCUGGACAUUUUUGGAACAAACUUAGGACAUUCCUUUGGAUUCUUGAAUAUGACUUGCAGCUGGGUAGGAAAGUGGUGCAAUGUUCUGACCCACAGAUUGAAGAUACUUUUUAACAAUAAAAAUAAUUCACUGUGGACGACUUUUCCCUCGAGAAUCAUAAAUACAGAUUGAUGUGUUAAGUCUAGGUAUGCUGAUUUGCAAACCAGCCUUGUUGCAUGGGAUGUACAUGUAGGAGCAUUGGGAUUUUUCAGUGUAUUAAUAUCAUCCGUUUGUAUUUGAAUCAUUUAAAACAACAGCAGCAGGAGAUAAAAGUAGCUCCUCAGAGGAUGGGUUGUUUGAAAAUUCUUUUCUGUCAAGUGUAAUUUUCCAUUUACAUUAAAAGAAUCUUAAUAUUAGGCAGUUUGCUCCUGAGAGAUAUUUGUAAAUUUAUACUGACUACAGUCUUUGUUGGAAGACAACAUGAUAGUCACCUCAUGUCAACUGAGGCAUGUUGAUCCACUCAGCAGAAGGAAGAGAAGAUUUGUUGGGUUAUUUAAGAUGACUUUAACCCUUGUUGACCCUGAAGGAGAGAAGAUUCUAAAAUAUACAAUUCUAACAAAUCCUAAGACCAGUAGACUUUUAUAGACUGAGCUCAGCUUUUGGUAAAAAAUCACUGAGCCUGUGUGUUACAUACCCUUAAGACAAAAUCCAGACUUUUCCUACAAAUAAAAACACGUCUGCUCAACAGUUGACUCCAUCAUCUGGAAUAAAUGUUCCUUAUUUUUUGUUCCCACUGGUACAAUCAGAUUAAUUAGCUGAAUCAUCACAGUUUCUCUGGUUUAAUUUUUAAAAUGCUAGACAACCAUUAUCUUUUACCUUUUUCCAUGUAACUCCUUUGUUAGAGUGAACUACGUGAAAUUGCCAACAUGGGACCAUUCCCUACCUACAAAACUGGUGAUUUCAUAUGGUUCAAUCUAUUAUUUAGUCAUGUAUUUUAAUUGUGGUAUUUAAAAAGCUUUGAGAAGCGUGAGGGGUAAUGCCUAGGUCUGCUUUGUAUUUUCCAAUUAGCCAGUUCUGUUUGUUCUUUUCCUCUCUGUACUGGAUAUGGUUUCAUACCAGUAACACCUUUCAUUUAGGGGGUGGCACCUGAAACCUCAGAGUACAUGAGUCACGGUGAUUGGUUCUGUCCUUUUCCAGUCAUACAGAGGUCUCAUUUUUCUUACUUAUUUUUUAAAAUGAUGAACUACCUACCUUCUAGCUAUAUCUAUUUUUAACUCUUGUUCAUAAUGCACCAUAUUUAAGAUUUUAAAAAGAAAAAACACUCAUUGUAUCCCAACAUUUCUAUCCUAUCAACCAGACACUAGUAUCUCAAGAUAUUGACAGAUGUUCCUUAGGGGAAAAUGGAGAUUUUGAGGUCCUAGAAAUGUCUGGAACACUGAGCUUUUUACAAAAGAUUGCUUUGUUGCUAAUCUUCUGAGACUAAUUUCCAUGAUGGAGAUACAUAUAAAUUGUUUUUCAGAUAUUGAACUGUGGAACACUUCAUAACAUCCCAGGGUACUAGAAAUCUUCAGUGUACAGUCUGGGAAAUCCUUUCCAGAAAGGUUGGUUCCUAGUGGGCUAUGAUUUUUCCCUCCAGAUGAUAGCUGUUCUUUUUUUUCCCCAGCUUUUGGUCCAUUCCAAAAUACACAUGAGCUUGACCUAAGAAUUUUGCCAAAGGAAUAUUAUUCCCCUCCAGGGAAAUGAAAACAGCAUGUUUCAACACAAGUUGAGAAAUCUUAAAACAAAGUGGAAAAAAAAAGGACUAGAUUAUUAUUAUGUUCGGUGGAAAUUACACUUUCAGAAGCUGAGUGGUUAUCAGAGAGGAUAAGAGACAGGGAGUGUGUGGGAGCCUGCUCUGGGUCUCCUUUGAUCAAAAGCGCCAUGUUUCAGCAAAUUGAUAUGGUGUUUCCUUCAAAUGGAUUGAAAGCAGCAGACCCUUUUGUUGCAGAUGCAACCUAUAAAAUGGAAAGUGGUCCUGUAGCCAGUUUGCAUCCAGGAAAGAACGCAACAUGGCAUUCCUAACCAACUCUUUGAUCUGCUGUAUAACUUCCUCUCAUGUGGUUGUGUGAAUUUUUGUUCAACAUGAAUAAUCACUGGGGGAAAUGAAUGUAUGAAGCUAUGAUUUAGUUUGUAACAAAGAGUUAUCAAAAGAAGAAACACCCCCAGCAUAUGAUUCUACCAUAUGAGUAUGCUACCUAGGAAUAUUCCUCUAACCAUAAGACAAAUGAAAUGCACUCUGAGAUCUGUGGAUGAAAAGAACCGCCUUAUACAAACUCACACAGAGGGAUCAAAUUUGGGUGGUAAUUGUGUGAUAAACUUUUGCCAUCUAGUUUGUCUGAUUAGCCAGAUUUCAUAGCGUUUUGUCUAGUUUUACUAUAGCAACACAGUGAGUGUUCCCUGAGCUGUCCUGGAGACAGAACCCUUUCCCCAGUGACACCCGCAGACCAAAUCUGGCCUGCCACCAGUUUUUCAGUGGCUCACAGGUUAAGAAGGAUUUUUGUAUUUUGAAAUGGUGUAAAGAAAAAGAAUAAUAUUUCAUGAUAGGUACAAAUUACAUGAACUCCAAAUUUGUGUCCAUAAAUAAAGGCUUAUUGUAGCA